CAGUCGCCGCGGGAAUACAGAGGGUGCAAGCGUUAAUCGGAUUUACUGGGCGUAAAGCGUGCGUAGGCGGCUUUUUAAGUCGGAUGUGAAAUCCCUGAGCUUAACUUAGGAAUUGCAUUCGAUACUGGGAAGCUAGAGUAUGGGAGAGGAUGGUAGAAUUCCAGGUGUAGCGGUGAAAUGCGUAGAGAUCUGGAGGAAUACCGAUGGCGAAGGCAGCCAUCUGGCCUAAUACUGACGCUGAGGUACGAAAGCAUGGGGAGCAAACAGGAUUAGAUACCCGUGUAGUCCCUGUCUCUUAUAC
rnacentral:rRNA from 1 species